rnacentral:rRNA from 1 species
AUACGUAGGGGGCGAGCGUUACCCGGAAUUACAGGGCGUAAAGGGGGCGUAGGCGGUCGAGUGUGUCAAGUGUGAAAUCCUACGGCUUAACCGUAGGGCUGCGCUUGAAACUACUCGACUUGAGCCAAGCAGAGGGUGACGGAACUACCCGAGUAGGGGUGAAAUCCGCAGAUACGGGUAGGAACGCCGGUGGGGAAGCCGGUCACCUAGGCUUGAGCUGACGCUGAGGCCCGAAAGCUGGGGGAGCGAACGGGAUUAGAAACCCUUGUAGUCC